rnacentral:rRNA from 1 species
CACGUAGGCGGCCAUUCAAGUCAGAGGUGAAAGCCCGGGGCUCAACCCCGGAACUGCCUUUGAAACUAGAUGGCUUGAAUCUUGGAGAGGCGAGUGGGAUUCCGAGUGUAGAGGUGAAAUUCGUAGAUAUUCGGAAGAACACCAGUGGCGAAGGCGACACACUGGCUCAUUACUGACGCUGAGGCUCGAAAGCGUGGGGAGCAAACA